rnacentral:rRNA from 1 species
UACGUAGGGACCAAGCGUUGUUCGGAUUUACUGGGCGUAAAGGGCGCGUAGGCGGCAAUUCAAGUCAUCUGUGAAAUCUCCGGGCUUAACUCGGAAUGGUCAGGUGAUACUGCUUUGCUAGAGUGCAGAAGGGGCAAUCGGAAUUCUUGGUGUAGCGGUGAAAUGCGUAGAUAUCAAGAGGAACACCUGAGGUGAAGACGGGUUGCUGGGCUGACACUGACGCUGAGGCGCGAAAGCUAGGGGAGCAAACGGGG